rnacentral:rRNA from 1 species
AGGGUGUAAACGCUGCAGACUUGGUGUUGGAGGCCCUUUGGGGGCAUUCAGUGCCGGAGAGAAGUUGUUAAGUCUGCUACUUGGGAGUACGUCCGCAAGGAUGAAACUUAAAGGAAUUGGCGGGGGAGCACCGCAACGGGAGGAGCGUGCGGUUUAAUUGGAUUCAACACCGUAAAACUCACCAGGGAAGACUGUUACAUGAAGGCCGAGAUGAAGACUCUGCUAGAUUUUUCAGAGAGGAGGUGCAUGGCGUCAGUGACU